rnacentral:tRNA from 1 species
CGCGGGGUGGAGCAGUCUGGUAGCUCGUUGGGCUCAUAACCCAAAGGUCGGAGGUUCAAAUCCUCCCCCCGCAA